rnacentral:rRNA from 1 species
UUGUCCCGCCCCGCCUAUAUAUCUCCGUCGCCAGCUUACCCUGUGAAGGCCUCAUAGUAAGUUUAACCGGUGAAUACCACCCCCAACGUCAGGUCGAGAUGUAGCGUAUGGAAGGGGAAUAAAUGGGCUACAUUCCCUAUUGAUACAGCGAAUACGAAUGAUAAGUUGAAAUACCUAUCUGAAGGAGGAUUUAGUAGUAAGCAGAAAAUAGAGUGUUCUGCUGAAACUGGCCCUGAAGCGCGCACACACCGCCCGUCACUCUCCCCAAGCUAACUUGUUAUUAUAAUUAAACUGCUAUAUUUGCAUAAGGGGAGGCAAGUCGUAACAUGGUAAGUGUACCGGAAGGUGCACUUGGCUAAAAA